AAGAUACUAGUAAAAUCAUUACACUGCUUUGUCAAGGCAGAAUCGCAAGUUAAACCCUUGCGUAUCUUA
rnacentral:tRNA from 1 species